CAGUAGCCGCGGGAAUACGUAGGUGGCAAGCGUUGUCCGGAAUUAUUGGGCGUAAAGCGCGCGCAGGCGGAUAGGUCAGUCUGUCUUAAAAGUUCGGGGCUUAACCCCGUGAUGGGAUGGAAACUGCCAAUCUAGAGUAUCGGAGAGGAAAGUGGAAUUCCUAGUGUAGCGGUGAAAUGCGUAGAUAUUAGGAAGAACACCAGUGGCGAAGGCGACUUUCUGGACGAAAACUGACGCUGAGGCGCGAAAGCCAGGGGAGCGAACGGGAUUAGAUACCCCCGUAGUCCCUGUCUCUUAUACC
rnacentral:rRNA from 1 species